AUGCACAUUGAAUCGUUUUUCAGCGUCCAAGCCCAAAAAAACCUCAACAAAGCCCACGGAACGCGGCCGAACAGGACAGCCAGUCCGCCGCCCAUGUUGCGCACGGCGAUCCCCGCGGCGGCGCGGCGGCGCAUCUCCUUUGCCCCGGCAAGAUUCGCGCACGAGCUUGCGCAGGCGCAGGCGCAGGUCCAGUCGGCCGUCCCUGGACGGGACGGCCUUGAGCCGUCGUGGGUCCCGCUGUACAGGAGGAUCUCGAAGCUGUCCCAUGGCAGGCAGCCGGGAAUGGCGGCGGCGGAGAUGACCAAAUAUCUCCGCGAGAGGCGCCCGCUCUCGGAGUACCAGAUCGUCGCCUACAUCCGGAAGCUCCGCAAGUUCAAGCGUCACGCGUGCGCGCUCGAGUUGAUGGAUUGGAUGGAAGCUCGUGGAGCAAAGUUGACGCAUGGGCAUCAAGCGCUGCGGCUUGACCUUGUUUCAAAAGUUCACGGGAUACAGGCAGCUGAAGAAUAUUUCUGGAGCCUUCCAGAUAUAUUGAAGUCAAGGAAAGCUUAUUCAAGUUUGCUUAACUGCUAUGGUGAACACGGGAUGGCAUUUAAAGGUCUGAAAUUCUAUGAGAAGAUGAAAGCCAAGAACAUUGUUCCAAAUACACUGGUGUACAACAGCCUGAUGGUUUUGUACAAAAAGGCGGGCCAGCCAGAGAAAAUCCCCUCCACAUUUGAAGAAAUGCGAGAAAGCGGUAUAACUGCUAACAGUUUUACAUACUUCUCAUUGGUAGAAAGCUAUGUUACAAUGAAUGACCUGGAGGCUGCGGAGAAAGUCCUGGAAGAAUUGCAGAAGGUGGCUCCAGUUCACUGGUCCCUAUAUACUCUAAUGGCAAACAGUUACAUUAAACUAGAGCUGUGUGGAAAGGCAGAAGUUGCCCUAAAGAAAGCCGAGGAAGUUAUGAACAAAGAUGAAUUAUCCUCAUGGUAUUUCCUCCUCUCCAUCUAUGCCCGCUGUGGAAAUGCAACCGAGGUUAAGAGGAUCUGGGAGUCUUUGAAGUCCACAUUCAAGAAAUGUUUGAACAGAAGCUAUCUUGUGAUGCUUCAAGCUCUGAGUACUAAUGAUGACUUUGAGUCUUUACAGCAAAUCUUUCAGGAGUGGGAAUCGAGUCAUGAACAAUAUGACAUGAGGAUAACAAAUGUUAUGAUCAAAGCUUACCUUGAUAAGGGUAUGAUAGACGAAGCUGAGGCUAUCCGUCAGAGGGCCAUGGCUAAGGGUCGUUGUGAUGACAGGACGAUUUACAUAUUUGCCGAAUUCUAUUUGGAAAAAUCUAAUGUUACCGUGGCACUGGAGAUCUUGAGAGAUGCAAAGAAGAUGGUGACGGCACACAAAUGGGUGCCAUCCAAAAAGCUUACAAGCAGAUUUCUGAAGCACUAUGAAGAGUCAAAGGAUGUUGACCGUGUGGAGUCUUUCUGUGAGUGCCUGAGGAAGCUCGAAUGCCUUGAUGCAGAAGCUUAUGAGGGCAUGAUGCGGACCUAUAUAGCUGCAGGUAAAACCAACCCAUCCAUUGCUCAGCGCAUCGAAGAUGAUGGGAUUCACGUUGGACCUGAGACUACGAAAUUGCUGGAGCGUGUCUCCGGCAAUUGA
rnacentral:rRNA from 1 species